CCAAAUACAUGGUCUGUUACUAUAAUAUAAUAUCAAACGACCAAAAACCAUGGUCUCACGUAACAUAUAAUGACCAAAUACAUGGUCUGUUACUAUAAUAUACAUGUAUAAUAUCAAACGACCAAAACCAUGGUCUCUACGUAACAUAUAAUGACCAAUUACAUGGUCUGUUACUAUAAUAAUAUCAAACGACCAAAACCAUGUCUAUGUAACAUAUAAUGAUAAAAACUAUGGUCUUUUACUAAUAUCUAUUGACCAAAACUAUGGUCUACGUAACAUAUAAUGACCAUAUACAUGGUCUUUUACUAUAAUAUACAAUGUAUAAUAUAAAAUGACCAAAAACGAAACAUACAUGUAUAAUAACAAAAUUAAAACACAC
rnacentral:lncRNA from 1 species